rnacentral:rRNA from 1 species
UGGGGAAUAUUGCACAAUGGGCGCAAGCCUGAUGCAGCCAUGCCGCGUGUGUGAAGAAGGCCUUCGGGUUGUAAAGCACUUUCAGCGGGGAGGAAGGCGUUAAGGUUAAUAACCUUGGCGAUUGACGUUACCCGCAGAAGAAGCACCGGCUAACUCCGUGCCAGCAGCCGCGGUAAUACGGAGGGUGCAAGCGUUAAUCGGAAUUACUGGGCGUAAAGCGCACGCAGGCGGUCUGUCAAGUCGGAUGUGAAAUCCCCGGGCUCAACCUGGGAACUGCAUUCGAAACUGGCAGGCUAGAGUCUUGUAGAGGGGGGUAGAAUUCCAGGUGUAGCGGUGAAAUGCGUAGAGAUCUAGAGGAAUACCGGUGGCGAAGGCGGCCCCCUGGACAAAGACUGACGCUCAGGUGCGAAAGCGUGGGGAGCAAACAGG